rnacentral:rRNA from 1 species
CCCUUAGAUGUUCUGGGCCGCACGCGCGCUACACUGUUCGACGCAGCGAGUCUUAACCUUGACCGAAAGGUUUGGGUAAUCUUCAGCAAAGUCGAACGUGAUGGGGAUCGAUCAUUGCAAUUAUUGAUCGUGAACGAGGAAUUCCUAGUAAGUGCAAGUCAUCAGCUUGCGCUGAUUACGUCCCUGCCCUUUGUACACACCGCCCGUCGCUACUACCGAUUGAAUGGUUUAGUGAGAUCUCUGGAUUGACGCUGGCUAGGGGGCGUCCCUUGGCCAGACUGUUGAGAAACUGCUCAAACUUGAUCAUUUAGAGGAAGUAAAAGUCGUAACA